rnacentral:tRNA from 1 species
GCCUGGUUGGCUCAGUUGGUUUAAGCAUCUGCCUACAGCUCAGGUCAUGAUCCCAGAGUCCUGGGAUCGAGUCCCACAUCGGGCU